UACGUAGGGACCAAGCGUUGUUCGGAUUUACUGGGCGUAAAGGGCGCGUAGGCGGCUUAACAAGUCACUUGUGAAAUCUCCGGGCUUAACUCGGAACGGCCAAGUGAAACUGUCAUGCUAGAGUGCAGAAGGGGCAAUCGGAAUUCUUGGUGUAGCGGUGAAAUGCGUAGAUAUCAAGAGGAACACCUGAGGUGAAGACGGGUUGCUGGGCUGACACUGACGCUGAGGCGCGAAAGCCAGGGGAGCAAACGGG
rnacentral:rRNA from 1 species